rnacentral:rRNA from 1 species
UACGUAGGGUGCAAGCGUUAAUCGGAAUUACUGGGCGUAAAGCGUGCGCAGGCGGUUUUGUAAGUUUGUCGUGAAAGCCCCGGGCUCAACCUGGGAAUUGCGAUGAAGACUGCAAGGCUUGAAUCUGGCAGAGGGGGGUAGAAUUCCACGUGUAGCAGUGAAAUGCGUAGAGAUGUGGAGGAACACCGAUGGCGAAGGCAGCCCCCUGGGUCAAGAUUGACGCUAAUGCACGAAAGCGUGGGGAGCAAACAGG